GUCUCUUUACAGCCAGUCACUUCCACAACAUUUAGUAGUUCUACUUCUACAGCUCCUUUACACACAGUCACUUCCACAACAUCUACCAGUCCCACUACUACAGUUCAUUUACAACCAGCCACUUCCACAACAUCUACUACUUCUACUUCAGCAGUCUCUUUACAGCCAGUCACUUCCACAACAU